UUGCUCUGGGAUGUCCAAGCCCCCUUCCCUCAGCCCAGCAGGCUGGUGGCUGUCUUCAGUGCCAUCUCGGGCCUUGUCUGCACAUGGGAAACCUGUGUCUUUCUUGUCCUUCAGCUCUAUUUCAGCCACUAACGGCAGAAGGGACAACUGGUUUCCUACAAGGGGCAUUGUGAAGGUGUGCUCCAAGCUGCACCGUGGCUGCUGCAGUUCUGCCACUGCCUGCGGUAGCGAGCCCUGUGCUCACUAGAGCCUUGCUUGCCUUUAUUUUUGGUCUUUCCUAAAAAUAUAUAUAGCUUUAGGGCAUAUGAUACCUCCAACACUGUAAAUCUAGAUAGGCAGCCUUUCAUUUUUGCUUUUGAUUUUUUUCAUUUGUCCCACUGUAUAUCUUCUUGGAGAAACAUCUAUUCUUCCUGCUCUUGUGAAAGGCACAUGUGAAGUGGUGUUUGUCACAAAGGUUUUUCCUUGCUACUGCUGCAUAAUUAGUGUCACUGAGGGUAAAUAUAUAUGCAAAAUAGAUCCCCUUUCAACGUGGGAAACUCAGUGUGUUCCUGCCCAGCUGUGCUUACCAAGCAGAGGAGUUUACUGGCUUUUCCCCACUCUCCCUCUGUUGCUGCAGUGAGUGCGGCAAGGCAGUCACUGGCCCUCACCCACAGCAGGAGGAGGGAGAGCAGGGGCUGCACUGCUGGGUUUUCCAGGGGUGCUGUGGAGCCCAGGAAGGUAAUGGUGCUGAUGGCCAGGUAGGUAACCGGGAGCCCCUGUCACAGCUCCCUUCCUCCUCCCUGUCCUCAGCCCUUGAAGGUGUGGUCCAUGCCCAUUCCCAGUGCCUCCUGGCCCUAAGGAAGUUUUCAUUUGUGGCUGCUGGACUCAAGACUGUGGGCGGCUCCUGCUUUACAGUACAAUGUUUUUGUAACGUUGUUAUGCUGGCUUUCUUAGUAAAUGCAUUUUCUUUAGUCACUUUUGCCUGCUAGUUUGCCCUGUGUUUCUGAGUCCAUUGGAUCAAUUCCAGCCAACCAUGAAAAGAAGGUAUUUGUUUCCAAGACAUUAAACUGGAGGCAGAGCCCAGGAAGGCGACUAGCUGAGGGGAGGAAGGAUAGCCCGCUGAUGCCCUAGGAGAGCUGGUGGCCUGAGCACAGCUCCAGUUAGAAGCCAGAGGAAGAAUCCAUGAUGGGGAGGAAGAGGGAGAGGCUUUGAACACCCCGACCGCAGAAAGUGCCUCCUUGGUGCUCAUAUGGUCUUCAGGCACUGGAAAGUCCAACCGCAAGAUACAAAUUCAUAGGAAACAAGGUCUCAUUAAUUCCGCUGCCCACAACUUGCUUAUGGUUCCACCAGUGCUUCCAAGAGUUUGGUUUGGUCAAAGGGCUAUUGGAAACUGGAUGGAUGCCUUCCCUGAGUCACCCUGCCUUUCCACCUCCCCAAGGUGGAGGUGCUCCACAGGCCAGGGCGCUGGUAGAGGAAGAGAUGUUCAGCUGUCAAGCAUCAUCCAACCUGCAUCUAGUGUGCUCGAGCACUGAAAUCCACCUUUAUCUUCAUGUUUUUGCCAGAGAUUUUGCUAACUAGAAAAAUGUGGCAUUAUAAGAAGGCUGUACCAGCUUGUUAUUCAUAUCCUCUCCCUGGUGAGAAAGAGCCAGAGAGCAUGUUUUAAACGUAGCCCAUGGUCAGACGGUGCGGUGAGUGCUGGAAGCCUGGGAUGGUCUGGCAGGAAAAUAAUUUCCCCUCUUAAAACCACUGAACAGCUCUUGUUCCUCCACACUCCACCUGGUUAGGUUGGCUGUGCAGCCUGGGCAUGGAGAUGUGGCCGGAUACAUUCCCAAUGCCUCCCAGCAUCCCUGGGUCAGCUCUUGCUGCACCUUUGCCACUGGAGGUGAGGGAUGGACUCUGCUCUGCUUUUGGCUGCCAGAGAAGAGGGGAUGGGGCAGGAGAUCCAAAGGGAUGUCCUUUCCUUUUCCCUUGCUGGCAGCUUUACAGCCUGUUUGUGAUGCAGAGGAAACGGUGAGGAUGUUCGUGUUUUGGAGGGAGGGUUUGCGUUCACAAUGGGAGCAGAGGCAGCAGAGAUGGCGAGGGGAGAGGACCAGGGGUGCUGCCUGGGGUCAGUGCUGCCUUGGGGCUGGCCUGCUGUUGUGGGGUUUGCUGCCAAUCCAUCACGCUGCUCCGAGGGACGUGAUGGGAGAUGGUAACGCAGUGCUUGGAGAGGCUGUGAGGAACAACCCCUGGUUUAAAGGAAAAAUAGUCUUUUGAAAGCAUCGCUAGGGAAAAAUUACCUGAAUCCUUGGCAGAUGCCAUUCAGUUACAUGCAGCAGCUCAGAUCUUGUGGAGCUUAAAGCACUACCAAGCCUUUUCCUCCUGCCUGUGUAAUGCUGCACCUCCGCCUCCCAUCUUCCCUCCCUGGAUCACAACAUCCCUGUGACACAGAGUUUUCCAAAUGGGAUACGUUUCUCUCAAAUUGCCCUCAAAUGUUCCUACCAAGAAACUGGGAUACUCUUUUUGCCUCUGGCCCUGCACAGCCACCAGCAGCAUGGUGAGCUCAGCAGGGUUGUGGGUACAGCCUGGCUUGGUCCCCAUAAACACAGUGUCUUCCCCAAAGACGGGUUAGUGCUGGGGAGGUGCUACUGACACCCUUCCUAGUGCUGCCCAAGCCAUCCUCUCUGGCUGGCCUCCAAGCUGUGGUUUGGGUGCUGUGCCCAGCUGAAAUGGACAGCUCAGUGGCCAGCUGCAGCCCAGAAAGGUCACAUCUGGAAAGAGCAUUUGAGCUGCUCCUGGGGAUGAACCCACGUGAAUCCUGUGGCUGAGCCAGCUUUUCCCUGCUUGCGGGAGGGGUCCCUGUGCUUCCUGGGGCUGGGAGGGUUUGGGAGGCAGGCAGGCAGGGGUGACUGGAGUGAAUCCACAGAGCUUGGAGGAACUCAAGUGAAAUGCCAACCACAUUCUUUGCUUCUGCCCCUCAUCCUUUCCUCCUGGCUCUAUAAAUAGGCUCCUUCUUAGAUGGGAGGGGAAGGCAGCACUUCAAUAUCAACUCUAGUCCAUUAAAAACAGAAUAUGGAGCAGUUUGCCUCCUCUGAGUCCACCUGUCAGUGUUUGCAGUUUUACUAUCAUAUUUUCCAGCAUCUUCCCGGUGUUUUCUCUGCUCUGUUGCUGUACACAGAAGCAGAGGAAACUUGACUGUGCAGAGGAAAAAGUGAAACAGUCUUUCUCAGAUGUUCUCAAAAACAGCCUGAAAGAGCUUUACACAUUGAUCCCACGCCAUUUUAGUCACCAGAGGUCUUAUUUACAACUGAAGUGUGCUUAAAAUAACCAACAAUGCAGAAGCACUGCAGACCUUCUGCAAGUACAGAUCACCUGGCUGCCUGAAGAAAUGGUCUCUACAGAAAAUUGAAGAAAAAUAACAAUCUAUUUCACAUCCAGCCGAACUCUUUCACAAUCUGCAUUGCUCAAAGCUGGAGUCAUGGCCAGCAGCAGCAGGGAUGUCCGUCUGUUGUGGCACUCUUUGCAAGCAAAGCCGCCGGUUCCUCAAUGACAGUAAACCCCGGGGAAUCACAGGGUAUGUACUCCUGUGCUAUGAUUAGGAUCUGUCUCCUCAAAUUCCAUCCUCGAGGUCUCUGCAGGAGGGGGCUUUUUGCUUUGUGUCCUGAACCCAGGCCUGCUUCAGUUCACAAAGGAUGGAUGGAUGAACACUGUAUUGACAAAAUACAUUGAAGAUAGGGUUUCAUUUCCCAUGGCUGGAGAGGAUGUGGGGAAGUUUAUUGUGAGUAAAAGAAACAAGUGGCUGAAGAACCAGUAGCAGGAGGCAAUAAUUAAUGGAAAAUGCCAUGUGCAGGGCAGGGUGGGCAGAAAAAUUCAGUGGGAGGUGGAAGAGGGAGAGGGGAGAUGCUACCUGGAAGUGUCUUGUGAAAAUCCCUGUGUGGCACCGGGGCUGGUGGCCAUUGUGGAGCAUCCAUGAGGCAUUGGGAGGAUCACUCACUGGUGGAGCCAGGUGCCAGCAAGUGUUCGGGGUGGUGUGUUAAGAAAAAUACCUGAGUUCCAGCAACAGCAGGAGGCCUGACUGUAAUGAGCUUAAUGAAUGUGACACAAGGGAUGUUUCAGGUAGAAGGAGAAAUGUGUCAUUUCUUGUGUGUGUAAUUAGGACACUUGGCAGCUGGGUAAGCUUUAAUUGCCAUUCAAAGCUCCCAGUCUUGCCAAAGAAUGAAGAGAGUGAAGAGAGCUAUUGAUUUCCAUCUGGGCAAACAAUUUACUUCUUAGUGCUCAUCAGCCUGAUGUGUAUCUUCAUUCCCUGUCACUGCUGUGUGCAAGCUAAAGCUGCUUUCAUCGGCAGAUUUCAGGUGGGGGCUCAGUUGAAUAUGUGGCUAGAAUUGCAAGGCAUUAAUAGUAGAAACUGCCUCAUUUACCACACUGGCAGUGCACAGUGUGCUCAGAGUCUUGGAAAAUCUCCACAUUUCUAGAUCUUUAUAUAGAGCGUCUCUCUGCUGUACAGUCCAGUUGCUUCCCAAAAAUAAAAUGGGCACAGAAGGAUCCUUCUUCUUCCUCUACUCAAUGGGAGCAAGGCAAUGUUUGUUUUAUAUGAUGCAUGUUUGUCUAUAAAUGUGGCGUUACUGAGCAGAGAAGUGGAUUUUGCAUUUCACUUUGAAGACACAGAUGUCCAUAAUCAAUAUGAUCUCUUUUGGGGGCAGCUUCCAAAUUUCGUGGGCUAAAUGCCACAUUUUUGCCCUGUUGUUGGCAGUUUCAUUGUUUCAGAGGCAUACAGCUAGUGCAGGUCAUGAUUUUGAAACGGAGGCAAAAUGAUAAAACUUAUAUGUAGACACAAAGUGUAGCAAUUUAAUUAGAAAAAAAAAGUUAAGUGGUAUCUUGGGGGAAAAGGUUAAGAAGAGAGAAAGAGGAGGUAAAAUUACCUAUGCAAAGCUAUAAAAAACCAGACUUGCUGCAAUUUGCAAUAUGCAAAAGCAUCAUUAGGCAGAAACAGGUUUUUAUACAACUAAUUAAUCUCACAUUGUGCACGUAAUGGGGAUCGAUGUGCCCAUGCAGCAUAGACAUGUCUGUAUGGUUUUGUGAAUUGGAAAAAAAAAAAAAAGGUUGGAAUAAUGAUUUCCCUUCUGUUAAGGAAUGGCUAAUUAGCCAAAUGGUAAUAUUCAGCAGAUGCAUGUAGGAAAUUCCAUCAUAUAGAUCCCCAGGGGCACUGGGCACUACACAGUAUAAAAUAAUCAAUAGUCAAUUGUAAAAAUUUUUAGAUGUACCCAGUUCUGACAAAAUUAUUUGUACACAAAAUGGGAAGAAAUAUAAAUGCACAAAGGGUUGGUUUUUGUUUUGCUCAUGUUUUGGCAUGGAGUGAUUUCACUAGAAUGACUCUGUGCUCACAGCAGUGACAGGGUGGAAUUGGCCUUCAGUUAUACAUUAAGUGGGGCAAAGUUAAGUGAUAGCCUGUAAACUAAAACGAAAGCAGUACCUGACUAAUGUCUAAAAAGUAUUAAUCUAAAAAUAAUAUUGUCUAAUGUGUUUUAUAUUUUAAAAGUGUUUUUUUCUGAUUUACAGGGGAAGAAAUGCCUAACAUGGGUUAAUAUGGUUAUUGACUAGUUGUAUCUUGAUUUCGUUUUUUUUGUUUAAGAAAGUUUUAACUUGAUGUACUAAGACCAAAAAGAAAAAAUAAUCUUAGAAACAGUGAUUUAUUUCCUGUUGACUUCAAUAACUAAUCCUGUUAAAACAGCCUGUACUGGAAGGCAAGCCUUAUGUGUGGAUAAGAUAGUAGAGAUAAAAAAGGCAAGUUUUACAUUCAUACCUGCCAAAUUUAAGAAAGGAAAAUGAUGCAUUUUCUGUUGGUUGGGUAGAUCUUGAAUUCCAUGUUGCGCUAUUAAAGUAUUUUUAAAUCAUGGUGUCACUGCUUCAUUACUUUUGUAUGUUGAUAUCUCCCUUUCUUAUCAGGAGAUGACAAUAUAUGCAGCAAAAGUCAUCUGGUACUUCAGACAGCUGUUAAAAUAUGACAGUUACUGAUAUAUGCCCUUUGGUUUUCAGUGUUGGAUUAUACUCUUGUUUUAUACACAGAGCAGUUCUCCUGUUUGUAACAAAACACUUCCCACAUGACACUGUCUUGUCACCUUCACUGUUUCUGGAGAGAUUGUGAGAAAUGACUCAUGGUGUGGUGUGCCCUACUUACAAUACUUCAGAUACUGCUAUUUCCCAGGUGCUUCCCCAAGCUUUUCUCUUUCAUAUCUCGAAAGAAAAGUACCCAUAGGUGGAAGUGACUGAAACCAUUAGUUAUCUUUAAAAAGACAUCUUUCUCUUGUGAAAAAUAAAUAAGAUAAUGCUUUUCCUCCUGCUGUUAAAAAAAAAAAAAAAAGUUGUUUUAUAUUGCUUGUAACUGAAAGGCAUAAAAAAGUACAGAAUUCCAUUCCUGUCAUUAACGCAUCUGUUAAAGUGAGCAGAUAAUUAUACUUUAGAUCUAUCUAUCCUCUGAAGCUAUGGCCAUAGCCAUUAAAUAAUUGUAUUUUAUCUACAUGCACAAUAGAAUUUCUUCCAUCUCCACUUACUGUGCUCAUUACCUUGUGGUGUUUCUUCUCUGAUCCUGAAUGGAAUAAGAAUAUGAGCAUUUUGAGGUGCUAGUUAAUCUAUAUAUAUUUAUAGCGGUAAGAAACAGAAGCGCCAAAAUGCAUGAAAUAUACUUUUCUGUUACUGCUUCCAGAGAAAUCAAGGACAGCUAUCUGCUUUCAGUGCUGAUUUUAUCUUUGCAGUUAUACUGUGAAAGGCACCCUCUUCAAUUGAUUUCACAAACACAUUUCAAAUAGAACUGAAUUUAUGUGGUCAGAAAAGGUAUUGGCAAGCAUAUUCACUAUGUGAAUGGACUUCUCCUAGCAAUGUAUCAAGACAAUGUUCAUUCCUUUCCAGUAACGUGGCUGCCAGUGUUUCUUUGUCUUCCUAAAACCAAAGCAGUUGGAUUUUCACAAAAUAAUAAAUUGCUAUCAAAUGUAGAAUGACAGAGAUUUUGAAAUAUCAACAGAUCAGACAGAAGUAUGAGCAUCGGUGCAGAACAGCUGCAGGACAUAACAAAUAGUAAUUUACAGCUCAUCACAAGUCCUCAGGAUUUUGGGGGGGGAGAAGAGAGGGGAAAGAAGAGUUGUACCCAUCAGUUUCAAGACAGCAGAGGAAAAGGUGGACAAGAUCUUUUACUGGUGUAACUAGGCAUAGUUUCCUGGAGCUGAAUAGAGCUGUGUGAUUCCCAUAGAACUAAAUGGGAGGAGCUACUUUUUGGUAGAAUUCCUGCUAAUCAGGGGAAAGGAUAGAAGGGUUUGUGUUAUGUGUAGAAGGUUGCUGUUGUUUUUAACAGCAGUAAUUCAGUUUGAUCUACCUUUUUGCUCUUUGUGCUUGGAAUAUGCUGAAGUGGUAAUCUUCAUUUUGAAUCAUGCUGAUCUCUGGAAGAAUUUAGACCAACCCGGUGAAACCUGAGUCCUGGGCUUCAGUGCAACUGAAGCAGCAACUCCAUGAAGGUCAACAAGGAGAACUGCAGAGAUUUGCCAAUGUACAAACUCUACAUAUGUACGCAUGAAAUAGGAACCAACAAACUAGUUUCACAGUCUACAAAUAAUAUAUUGGGCUGCACUAGGAUGAUCAUGGCCAGUAAAUGCUGGUGCAUUACAGGCAUCCAGAAACCUUUCCGCUGAGUUCUAAGGAACGGCGCAAGUUCAAAUAGAACAAACCGAUCACCCACUGCCUCCUCAAGCCUUCCAACUGGUGUCACUCCCUGUAUGCUACCUGUUUCCUGUGGAAGCGCCUACCCAUUGUUCCCCUGUGGAGGGGCAAACAGCUUUUCUUUUGAAGAAAAAAAGAUAAUUUCACAUCUGUUCAGUGAGGAAUUGCCACCAGCCUUGGAAACAUCAAUACUGAAGUAAAUCUGUGUAUCUUUUCAUGUUUUAUAGCUUCUUAACUCUGACACUUAGGACACCACAUUAAGAUACUCAGUAAAAAAGCCUAGCACAAAUCUUUCAUAGCUUCAUUUGUGAUGUAUUAAUCUGUUUGUCUCUAGCACUAAUCUUACUGCCAAGGAAGCUGGCAAAAGAGCUGCUUGCCCUUUGCUUGCAUACAAGGGAAACCACAAAGUUGUUGACUCGUGUGCAUACAUAGACAUACAGAGAUAUGCGUCUCUCCAUAGUCUCUUUCUUGUGGAUGUAAAAGCUAAUUCCACUAUAACAAGUUUUAUAUAAAGUUAACAUCAAAAAUGUAUGAAGCAUGUACAAAUCAAGGCAACAGAUGCCUAAGUGAUAAGAAAAGCUGGGAAUUCAUUCUUAGGCAGCUGGGUCCUGGAAGAAAUGGGAAAUACAAACUAAGAAAGCAAGAAAUGCUACAGACAAAUGUCAUUGCCUCUCACUGCUGAGCUUGCAAGGGCUUUUGAGGCAAUGAAAGGCAAGGACAGCCUGCCAUACCUGCGGGGGCUGCCAGCUGGUCAGCUGGCUCCAUAGAAAAAGGGGAAUGGAGACUUAGGAUAAAUAUUAAAAAGCAACUCCUGUUACCCUGCAACAGGCUUGGGUUGUUUAGAAAAUACUCACCUGCAUCAAACCACAUUUUCAAAGCUUUUUUUAGGGAAUAAAAGUAUAGUUUUGGUAAAAGACUUGAAGGGGAGAAAAAAAAACAGCACAUGCAUUAUACCCUUUGUAUCAAUACAAACCAAUUUAACAGCUAUGAUUUACCAAAGGCUUUAUCCCACCCUUCCUUUAGGCAACCUUUUUUAUGCUGCCUAUGGGAGCACCUGCAGCACCUCACAGCAGCUGGUUUUAGAUCCAUGAGACCCACUGAACGAUAGCUGUGUAAGUGCAAAAGGCAUGAGCCAUCCUCUCUUCUACUGCUGGAGCUGAUGCUUUCUUGCCAAACUGAUAAAAUAGCAUACUUUAUUAAAAACGCUGACUGAUAGAAGGAAAAGUCUUAUUGUCUAAUUUUCCCAGGGCAGCCACAAAAAGAACAGUUUACAAAGCACUUAUCCUAGCCCUGUCUCCCCUUUCUCUCCUGCCUGGCAUAGCAUUUCUGGCAUAUUUCUGGGAACAAUGUCCAUCAGGGAAAUAAAUGGUGUCUUUCUAUUCUUUACUGUAAGAGAGAUGGCAGCUACUGUAGUUCAGCAUAAAUUUCCAGGCAGUACUAAUAUGCCUGGGAAAAAAAUAACAAUUUUCAGUCAUGGUCAUCUGAACCUGUGGUACCCAAUCCAUGCUCCUUUUACAAUUCAACAGGUGCCUUUUCCCCUGUAGAGAAGGAAGGGCAGAAGUGGAUGUAAGUCAUGGUGAAGGUGAGGAGGUAGGAGCACAUGAGGUAAAUGGUAACAGUCCUGCAGCUCCCUCCCCAGUGAUCUGUUUGCUCAGCCAAGUGAAUCCAAACGUUGUUCUUGAUUGUUCUAGUGCAACAUAUUGUAACAAAGCACGUGGGAAGACUACAAAUGUGAGGAAUGUCCUGCGCCUCUGCAUGCUGUCCAGGCUCCUUGGUACCAUGUCCCAUGGCAACAAUGCUGCCAAAGCUGGCUUUUAAAGAAUCACCCUUUGACAGCUCGGUCUCCCAACAACUGCAUAGCUGUCAGCUCAUGGAAAUUCCUCCUUCUCUGGAGGAUGCAGAAUGCUAGCUGAGAAAGCACCCUAUCUAUCAUCCAGUAGAAGACAAAACAAAUACUGUGUUCUCCUGAACUAUAUAUAGGAUUAAUCUAACCCUAGCAAGACUCUAUGAGAUAGCUUGGGUCCCACUCAGGCAAGGGAAAAUGCUGCUUCCCAAAAGGAUUUCUCUACAAGCUGGCAGAUGCACUCUUGAUUUCUGCUAUCCAGAAGAGGUUGGUCUCCUCUUCCAUGAGUGAUCUAUUACCUAAAGGAUAGAUGGUGGGCAAAAUCUGUUCAGCAGUGCAAAAACACACCAGAGUUUGUCCAUGCAGUAGAGUGAAGUGCCUUGCUGCCUAAUGUCUUUAACUCCUCUAAAUGAGGAGCCCAAACACUUGAUUAUUUAGUAUAAAUACUAAUUCACUGAAUCACUGUGGAGUUUUGUAUUACAGUAGUAGAGCAGAAAUUGAAAACUUCUGUCAACUACCUGGGUGGAAAACUCUGAGUUGCUUUUUGUGUAUCUAAAGCAUUAUUAAAGUAACUUUUUUCUUUUUUAUGGCUGUAAGACCUGAUCCUAUAUCUUUACUGAGAGACUGACCCAUUGAUGAUAAUGGGAGCAUUUCCUCCAGAGCGGUGUUUGCUUCUAUUAAUAAUGGCAUUUGGCUAUGCAGUAGUUGCAUGUUUUUUCAUUGAGCUGAAGAAAUCACUUAAACCCAUAUUCUUUUAACAGGUGAAAUUCAGUAUAUCCCCAUCUUUCUGGUACAGAUUCCCAUUGCCAUAGCAGGACGUACUGGUGAUUGAAUGGCUCAGUUGCUGUCUUGUCCUGGCUUUUCACUGUCUCAAGUUUCAAGUAGCAUUUCAUUAAUAGCGUGAGACGUCCAUUAAAGCUUCAGAGCCAGCAGUGGUGUUCCAGCACCUGCAAGUGAUGGGAAGUGUGCUCAACCUUUGCAGCCAGAUAUUUCUCUAACUUCUUAAGAAGACCUGGUAUAGAGGCCGCAUGUUCUUCCCAGGCAGUCUUUUACUGUGCUCUUUAUUGUUACACAGUUUUCCGUACUUCUGCUUGCUACAAUUGAGGUCCCUUGCUUGCCCCCUUCCUUAUGGAAAUUACUCCCUUCAUCUUUGUGGUGUUUUUUUACUUGGCUGCAGACUGUUCUCAAGUCAUAGCUGUAAGAUAAAAAUAAAGAGAAUCUUACCAA